AGUCACUGACAUUAGAUACCCGUGUAGUCCAGGGUGUAAACGCUGCAGACUUGGUGUUGGGGACCCUUCGGGGGUGUUCAGUGCCGGAGAGAAGUUGUUAAGUCUGCUACUUGGGGAGUACGUCCGCAAGGAUGAAACUUAAAGGAAUUGGCGGGGGAGCACCACAACGGGUGGAGCCUGCGGUUUAAUUGGACUCAACGCCGGAAAUCUCACCGGAUAGGACAGACAUAUGAUAGUCGGGCUGAAGACUCUACUUGAUGAUCUG
rnacentral:rRNA from 1 species